GAUGAACGCUAGCGGCAGGCUUAAUACAUGCAAGUCGAGGGGCAGCGCAGUGUAGCAAUACAUGGGCGGCGACCGGCAAACGGGUGCGGAACACGUACGCAACCUUCCUUUAAGUGGGGGAUAGCCCAGGGAAACUUGGAUUAAUACCCCGUAAUAUUAUGAAGUGGCAUCACUUUAUACUUAUAGCUCCGGCGCAUAAAGAUGGGCGUGCGACUGAUUAGGUAGUUGGCGGGGUAACGGCCCACCAAGCCUGCGAUCAGUAACUGGUGUGAGAGCACGACCAGUCACACGGGCACUGAGACACGGGCCCGACUCCUACGGGAGGCAGCAGUAAGGAAUAUUGGUCAAUGGACGCAAGUCUGAACCAGCCAUGCCGCGUGGAGGAUGAAGGUCCUCUGGAUUGUAAACUUCUUUUAUUUGGGAAGAAACCCACUGUUUCUACGGUGGUUGACGGUACCAGAUGAAUAAGCACCGGCUAACUCCGUGCCAGCCGCCGCUGUAACAC
rnacentral:rRNA from 1 species